UUUGAAUAUUUUUUUCCUAAAAACCCAUAGCUACUGGUUUUGUUCUUUCCUUUCAUGCUUUCCUCUAAACAAAUCAAAAGAAGAUCUAGGAAAGCAAUGAAGGAAAUAAAGUGAGAAGCUAGAUCUUUUAAUUUACACUAUAUGGCCACAGU